GGUUGAGUCGUCUAAUGGUAAGGCGUGAGAUUGCAAAUCUUAAAAUAGCAGUUCGACUCUGCUCCCAACC
rnacentral:tRNA from 1 species